AGCCUUAAUAGAUGCAAUGUCACCAACAUACCAUGCACACAAACACAUCGGACUAAUGUCACAUGGUUGAACAAAUGUCAGGGGUGCAGUACUAUUCUAUACAGGCUGCUGGGAGAAAUAAGCCAGAUUGAGAACCAAAAAUGAAAGAUAAAUCGACACAACUACAGUCAUACUGCAAGUAUUAUUGAUUUAUCCCGCCACAGACACUAUAGAGGAAAGUACACAAAAAAAAUAAACAAAAAGCGAUUAGAUUAUUUUCCAAAUAUUCCCAAAAUUUGUUUUCAUACAUCGCUAUCUUUCAUCAUCAUCAGCUCCCUUGAUAGUAACAUCAGACUGUGUCACCCCUGUUUGUUUAUUUGUUUCUGGCUGGUCUACCCCGAUUCCUAAUUUUUAAUAUCCCUUUUAUGUCUCUUAUACGGAUAGAAUUUUCUCAACUCCCAUAAUUCGAAUAAGUCAAAACGAGUUUACGCGCUUAACCAACGGUAAACGAGCUCUGUAAAUAACGAGGUUGGCUGAUAUAAAAAGAAAACCCUCCAUUGAACAAAUUCAUUUAAAGCGUUUGUGAACUUUUACUACAAUUCAAUUAUUACACGAGCAGACGAGGGAAGAUCGCAUUGACCAAUUAAAAGCUGCAGCUCGGACAUGAUGAAAUGAAAGUGGACAAAAAACUUAAUUUGUUGCUUUUAAUUGCAAUGAUUACUUCUUGCUCGCAGCAGGACCCUCGAACUAACGACAGAGAUUUGGCUGAUUCUGAAAUCCAGCGCAGAUUUGAUCAGAUGCCCUUCUCAUACCAGCAGUUUGAAGAGUGCUUGAAUGGCAAUAACAACCAAAUUUCUGAUAUCUGCAGUCAAAGCAGAAAGCUACAGAAGCAGCUGAUGUUCGAAGUGUACUCCCAAAAUAUGAUGCUGGAAAAUCAAAAAACUGACAAUAGUUUAUAAAAACUAUGAACCAACCAUUUAAAAUACUUUUGCUUUGGGUUAAGAAUGUAUUUUGAAAAUGUUU